rnacentral:rRNA from 1 species
CAGUAGCCGCGGUAAUACGGAGGGGGCUAGCGUCGUUCGGAAUUACUGGGCGUAAAGCGCACGUAGGCGGCUUGGUAAGUUAGAGGUGAAAGCCCAGGGCUCAACCCUGGAAUUGCCUUUAAGACUGCCGAGCUAGUAGGUGAGAGAGUGAGUGGAAUUCCGAGUGUAGAGGUGAAAUUCGUAGAUAUUCGGAAGAACACCAGUGGCGAAGGCGGCUCACUGGCUCAUUCUAGACGCUGAGGUGCGAAAGCGUGGGGAGCAAACAGGAUUAGAUACCCGCGUAGUCCCUGUCUCUUAUACA